rnacentral:snoRNA from 1 species
UUAAGACUACUUCCAGGAUCAUUUCUGUAGUUCCUUACAAUAUUAUUGUUUUUUAAGGAAGCUCAUGGAAACCAUUUAGCUGAAGAACUGGGGGCUUCUCAGAUACGUGAAGCUCAUUUAGAGG